rnacentral:rRNA from 1 species
UACGUAGGAGGCAAGCGUUGUCCGGAAUCACUGGGCGUAAAGCGCGUGUAGGUGGAAGAGGAAGUCUGCUGUGAAAGCGCCUGGCUUAACCGGGCGAGGUCGGUGGAAACUCCUCAUCUGGAGGGCGGUAGAGGGGGGUGGAAUUCCAGGUGUAGCGGUGAAAUGCGUAGAUAUCUGGAGGAACACCGGUGGCGAAGGCGGCAUCCUGGACCAUUACUGACACUGAGAGACGAAAGCCAGGGGAGCAAACGGG